rnacentral:rRNA from 2 species
AGCGAGCGCAGGCGGUUUUGUAAGUCUGCUGUGAAAGCCCUCAGCUCAACUGAGGAAGUGCAGUGGAAACUACAAAACUUGAGUACAGAAGAGGAAAGUGGAACUCCAUGUGUAGCGGUGAAAUGCGUAGAUAUAUGGAAGAACACCAGUGGCGAAGGCGGCUUUCUGGUCUGUUACUGACGCUGAGGCUCGAAAGCAUGGGUAGCGAACAGGAUUAGAUACCCUGGUAGUCCAUGCCGUAAACGAUGAAUACUAGGUGUUGGAGGGUUUCCGCCCUUCAGUGCCGCAGCUAACGCAUUAAGUAUUCCGCCUGGGGAGUACGACCGCAAGGUUGAAACUCAAAGGAAUUGACGGGGGCCCGCACAAGUGGUGGAGCAUGUGGUUUAAUUCGAUGCUACGCGAAGAACCUUACCAGCUCUUGACAUCUUCUGCCAACCCAAGAGAUUGGGCGUUCCCUUCGGGGACAGAAUGACAGGUGGUGCAUGGUUGUCGUCAGCUCGUGUCGUGAGAUGUUGGGUUAAGUCCCGCAACGAGCGCAACCCUUAUUAUUAGUUGCCAGCAUUUAGUUGGGCACUCUAGUGAGACUGCCGGUGAUAAACCGGAGGAAGGUGGGGACGACGUCAAAUCAUCAUGCCCCUUAUGAGCUGGGCUACACACGUGCUACAAUGGAUGGUACAACGAGUCGCGAAACCGCGAGGUCAAGCUAAUCUCUUAAAGCCAUUCUCAGUUCGGAUUGCAGGCUGCAACUCGCCUGCAUGAAGUUGGAAUCACUAGUAAUCGUGGAUCAGCAUGCCACGGUGAAUACGUUCCCGGGCCUUGUACACACCGCCCGUCACACCAUGGAGAGUUUGUAACACCCAAAGACGAUGGGGUAACCUUUUAGGAGCUAGUCGUCUAAGGUGGGACAGAUGAUUAGGUGAUA